CCAUAAUAAUGGAACUUGGGAUUUAGUACCAUUAUCCCAGAACAAAUCUGUUGUUGGAUGUCAAAGGAUUUAGAUAGUUAAAAUGGGUCCUAAAGGCAAAAUUGAUAGGCUUAAAGCUAGUUUUAUCGCCAAAGGAUACAUACAGAUCUUUAGGCUUGAUUAUAUUGAUACCUUCUCAAUAGUGGCCAAGAUUGCAUCAAUUCAGCUUCUUAUUUUGUUUGUUGCUCAGGGGGGGGUCUAGCUUGGUAUGUCGUCAACAACAGUCACUACAUGGCCUAAAGUAAUCUCCGAGAGUAUAGUUUGUGGUUCAAUUUUGUGGUCCAACAAUUUGGAAUGCUUCAGAGUGAAGUUGACCAAUCAACACUUUUUGUCAUGAUUGUCAUCAUACGUGCACUUAUUUGUCGGUCUAUAUUGAUGAGAUUGUCAUUACAGGAAAUGAUCAUAAUGGGAUAUCUCAACUUAAACACCAUUUAUUUUGUCACUUCCAGACUAAAGAUCUAGGAAAACUAAAGUAUUUUUGGGCGAUUGAGGUGAUACAGUCCAAGAUAGGUAAUGCUAUUUCUCAAAAGAAAUUUGCUUCGGACAUACUAGAAGAGAUUGACAUGUUGGAUUGCAAACAUGUGGACUCCUAUAGAUCCAAAUGUCAAACUUGUCCCUGGAUAGGGGGAGCCAUUGGAGGAUCCUG
rnacentral:misc_RNA from 1 species